UACCGGAUAAUAUUUUGAACCGCAUGGUUCAAAAGUGAAAGACGGUCUUGCUGUCACUUAUAGAUGGAUCCGCGCUGCAUUAGCUAGUUGGUAAGGUAACGGCUUACCAAGGCAACGAUGCAUAGCCGACCUGAGAGGGUGAUCGGCCACACUGGAACUGAGACACGGUCCAGACUCCUACGGGAGGCAGCAGUAGGGAAUCUUCCGCAAUGGGCGAAAGCCUGACGGAGCAACGCCGCGUGAGUGAUGAAGGUCUUCGGAUCGUAAAACUCUGUUAUUAGGGAAGAACAUAUGUGUAAGUAACUGUGCACAUCUUGACGGUACCUAAUCAGAAAGCCACGGCUAACUACGUGCCAGCAGCCGCGGUAAUACGUAGGUGGCAAGCGUUAUCCGGAAUUAUUGGGCGUAAAGCGCGCGUAGGCGGUUUUUUAAGUCUGAUGUGAAAGCCCACGGCUCAACCGUGGAGGGUCAUUGGAAACUGGAAAACUUGAGUGCAGAAGAGGAAAGUGGAAUUCCAUGUGUAGCGGUGAAAUGCGCAGAGAUAUGGAGGAACACCAGUGGCGAAGGCGACUUUCUGGUCUGUAACUGACGCUGAUGUGCGAAAGCGUGGGGAUCAAACAGGAUUAGAUACCCUGGUAGUCCACGCCGUAAACGAUGAGUGCUAAGUGUUAGGGGGUUUCCGCCCCUUAGUGCUGCAGCUAACGCAUUAAGCACUCCGCCUGGGGAGUACGACCGCAAGGUUGAAACUCAAAGGAAUUGACGGGGACCCGCACAAGCGGUGGAGCAUGUGGUUUAAUUCGAAGCAACGCGAAGAACCUUACCAAAUCUUGACAUCCUUUGACAACUCUAGAGAUAGAGCCUUCCCCUUCGGGGGACAAAGUGACAGGUGGUGCAUGGUUGUCGUCAGCUCGUGUCGUGAGAUGUUGGGUUAAGUCCCGCAACGAGCGCAACCCUUAAGCUUAGUUGCCAUCAUUAAGUUGGGCACUCUAAGUUGACUGCCGGUGACAAACCGGAGGAAGGUGGGGAUGACGUCAAAUCAUCAUGCCCCUUAUGAUUUGGGCUACACACGUGCUACAAUGGACAAUACAAAGGGCAGCGAAACCGCGAGGUCAAGCAAAUCCCAUAAAGUUGUUCUCAGUUCGGAUUGUAGUCUGCAACUCGACUACAUGAAGCUGGAAUCGCUAGUAAUCGUAGAUCAGCAUGCUACGGUGAAUACGUUCCCGGGUCUUGUACACACCGCCCGUCACACCACGAGAGUUUGUAACACCCGAAGCCGGUGGAGUAACCUUUUAGGAGCUAGCCGUCGAAGGUGGGACAAAUGAUUGGGGUGAAGUCGUAACAAGGUAGCCGUAUCGGAAGGUGCGGCUGGAUCACCU
rnacentral:rRNA from 1 species